GAUGAACGCUGGCGGCGUGCCUAAUACAUGCAAGUCGAGCGAACAGAUGAGGAGCUUGCUCCUCUGACGUUAGCGGCGGACGGGUGAGUAACACGUGGAUAACCUACCUAUAAGACUGGGAUAACUUCGGGAAACCGGAGCUAAUACCGGAUAAUAUAUUGAACCGCAUGGUUCAAUAGUGAAAGACGGUUUUGCUGUCACUUAUAGAUGGAUCCGCGCCGCAUUAGCUAGUUGGUAAGGUAACGGCUUACCAAGGCGACGAUGCGUAGCCGACCUGAGAGGGUGAUCGGCCACACUGGAACUGAGACACGGUCCAGACUCCUACGGGAGGCAGCAGUAGGGAAUCUUCCGCAAUGGGCGAAAGCCUGACGGAGCAACGCCGCGUGAGUGAUGAAGGUCUUCGGAUCGUAAAACUCUGUUAUUAGGGAAGAACAAAUGUGUAAGUAACGAUGCACGUCUUGACGGUACCUAAUCAGAAAGCCACGGCUAACUACGU
rnacentral:rRNA from 1 species